CGGCAGUGCCUUAUGUUCAAGUAUUUCUAGCUUCAUCGCUUCAGUUGGUCCAUAUGUUCACUGAAUGGGGAUGUCUCUUCAGAUUAAGGCUGCUAAUGCUUCGCUCUGCUCGCUAUGGAUAUGUCGGCCGGCGCCAGCUUCUUCCUCCCCAUCGGCCAGGUGACCUUGUUGACUCCUCCCUCUUCACCGGCCAGGCCAACUCGCCGGCACCUCCCACCUCACCGGCCCAGGAGAGAUCCCCUCCCUCAAUGUCGCCGCAUCCUGUGCUCGCCGCCGUCCAUGAGCCGAUUCCGCAGUGCAGAUGAGCCUGAAGAGGUUGUCCUACUUCAGGGUAGUGAGCUGCAGCAUUUUGACGCUCAGUUGGCGCUGGAGGUUAUUCAGGCACCAUCCACAAAUUAAGUAAGAUAUAGCUUUCUUCACCGUAAUUUUGUCAAGGGGUCCGCAAUGAAAUGGACAAUUACGCCAAGAUAGGCACAUAAGAAGAUCCUCAAGAUCAGCGAUGGAGAUCGCGACGGUGCAUCGACGAGCUUGAUGAGAUGGCGCAUUGACAAGCAAAAAGUCAUGGGGAUUCCCGCUGUUCGUGAGGGGUUGCGUGAUGCGGCUAUGGGGCGGCGGAGGUCCACACAUCAGACGUAUCUAGGCUGUGCGCACAGAUGAUGUUGAGGCUCCGUGACCUCUACAACCCGAGCAAAACAGCAGCGGUUCGCCACUUCAGCUGUUACUCUACUCCAUCCACUAAAUUUUCUUCAGUUGAAUAUCUGCAUAUAUAUGGUGAUGAUUUUAGUGGGCCACAAGGUGUUGGCAAUCGUUGGGUUCUGUAUUCUACAAAAUA